rnacentral:rRNA from 1 species
CACGUAGGGGCGAGCGUUGUCCGGAAUUACUGGGUGUAAAGGGUGCGUAGGCGGCCUUGCAAGUCAGAUGUGAAAGGCUACGGCUCAACCGUAGUAAGCUUUUGGAACUGUAAGACUUGAGUGCAGGAGAGGAGAGUGGAAUUCCUAGUGUAGCGGUGAAAUGCGUAGAUAUUAGGAGGAACACCAGUAGCGAAGGCGGCUCUCUGGACUGUAACUGACGCUGAGGCACGAAAGCGUGGGGAGCAAACAGGAUUAGAUACCCCGGUAGU